GCCCUUUUGCCGUUGUGCUACUGAGCGUGAGGAGCAGUGCAAUGGUAAAAGGGCAU
rnacentral:pre_miRNA from 1 species